rnacentral:lncRNA from 10 species
UUAUUGGUUAUUGGUUUGAACUCAUACAUUAGAAAAGUAGCAAACAACGACAACAAAAUAAUGAAAAAGCAAAUGAUCUAAGCUUUGUACUAAACUAGAAAGAUAGAAGAAGGAAAAAAAUAUUAAAGUUAAGAGUAUGAAUCAAGAAGUACAAAAAUCUCACUAACAUGACAAAUUAAGAAACUGGUCCUUUAGAAGAUUAAUGUGAUAGAAAAAUUUUUGCAAGACUUGAAACAAGUUGAUACAAAUAAGCAGAGUAUUAAAAUGCAUAUAUAAAAAUAUAAAGUAUUACGAGUAACACAUGAUUUAUUUGAAAUAUAUACUUAAUAUAAUAUAAACAAACUUCUAGAGUAUAAAAUAAUAUUUAAAGAAAAUAUGAAUAGACCUAUAAACAUUUAUGGAAUUUAAAUGGAAAUCACAGUAUUUAUUUACAAAAAAGACUUAAAUCCAGAUAACUUUAUGGUUAAGUUCUGUAAAAGUUUCAAGAAUAAUCCUUUCUUAAUGAAGGUUUUUAGCAGAAUAAAGAUAAAGAAGGCAAUCUGAACAAGUAAAAAGAGACAAUCCAGUAAAAUGAAAGUAAAGCCAAUUUUACAGAUAUGUAUAAAUGACUAAAUCCUAAAUGAAAUGUUAAGUACCUGAGGAUAAAUGUUCACAUAUGUACCAUAAUCAAGAGGGAUUUAUCCCAAGAAUGCAAGUCAGAAAAUAUGUUGAUAUUAUUUUCCCCAUUAAAAGAUAAAGGAGAAAAACAUACGAUUAUGUUAAUCGAUACACAUAAAGCAACUGAAAGUUCAAAACCUAUUAUUAUAAAAAAAAUCCUAAAACAUAAACAUUUAGAAAAAUGGAAAUAGGUGGUAAUUUCUUAUCAUGAUAAAGGUUAUUCAAUGCAAGCCUGUAGCAAAUAUAUUUAAUGGAAAACCUUUAAUCGUCUUUGAAGUAAAAAAUAUGACAAGGAUGCUUGCUACCACUCUUACUGGUUAACAGAGUUCUUUCUCUCUCAAUCUCUUUCUCUCUCUCUCUCUCUCUGUGCAUACAUAUGUAUGUAUAUAUGACUUAGAAGGUGUGGUAGGCACAGAGAUGGACUGUUCACAUUCGCCUUCAGCAAAAGCCUUGCCACCAGCCAUGGGGAGUAGAUGGCCUUCAGCAGUCUGCUCCUUUAGGGCUUUGCUCACUUUCAAAGAACUGAGUCACCUGAGGUCAUGCCCUUCUUGGAUCACCUGUCACUUGGAAGGCAAUCCAGUGGCUCUGUCUCCAUCCCCUGAGACGCUCUACUCUAUGUGAUAUUCAUCCUCAGGCUGGCAGCAGGACAGUUGCAGCAGUUCCAGUCCCACCUGU